rnacentral:rRNA from 1 species
AAUGUAACGCUAGCGGCGUGCCUUAUGCAUGCAAGUCGAACGGUCUUAAGCAAUUAAGAUAGUGGCGAACGGGUGAGUAACGCGUAAGUAACCUACCUCUAAGUGGGGGAUAGCUUCGGGAAGCUGAAGGUAAUACCGCAUGUGGUGGGCCGACAUAUGUUGGUUCACUAAAGCCGUAAGGCGCUUGGUGAGGGGCUCGCGUCCGAUUAGCUAGUUGGUGGGGUAAUGGCCUACCAAGGCUUCGAUCGGUAGCUGGUCUGAGAGGAUGAUCAGCCACACUGGGACUGAGACACGGCCCAGACUCCUACGGGAGGCAGCAGCAAGGAAUCUUGGGCAAUGGGCGAAAGCCUGACCCAGCAACGCCGCGUGAGGGAUGAAGGCUUUCGGGUUGUAAACCUCUUUUCAUAGGGAAGAAUAAUGACGGUACCUGUGGAAUAAGCUUCGGCUAACUACGU